AUGGGGAGAUCGCCGUGCUGCGAGAAGGCGCACACCAACAAGGGCGCGUGGACGAGGGAGGAGGACGAGCGGCUGGUGGCCCACGUCCGGGCGCACGGGGAGGGCUGCUGGCGCUCGCUGCCCAGCGCCGCCGGCCUGCUGCGCUGCGGCAAGAGCUGCCGCCUCAGGUGGAUCAACUACCUCCGCCCCGACCUCAAGCGCGGCAACUUCAGCCGCGACGAGGACGAGCUCAUCGUCAAGCUCCAUAGCCUCCUCGGCAACAAGUGGUCGCUCAUCGCCGCGCGCCUGCCCGGGAGGACGGACAACGAGAUCAAGAACUACUGGAACACGCACAUCCGGAGGAAGCUGCUGGGCAGGGGGAUCGACCCGGUCACGCACCGCCCCCUCACCGACGCCGCCACCGUCUCCUUCGUCCAUCCUGCAGAGGCGACCAAGCAACAGGCGACGGAGGAGAGGAAGCCGCCCAGAUGCCCGGACCUCAACCUGGACCUCUGCAUCAGCCUGCCGUUCCAACAGGAGGAGGAACGGCCGCCGGCGAGAGCGUGCGCCAAGCCGGUGAAGAUGGAGCAGCUGCAGCAGGGCGGCAUCUGCUUCCGCUGCAGCAUCCUCAGAGUGAGAGGAGCGGCGACGGAGUGCAGCUGCGGCAGCAACUUCCUGGGCCUCAGGGCCGGCAUGCUCGACUUCAGAGGCCUCGAGAUGAAAUAG
rnacentral:rRNA from 1 species